rnacentral:rRNA from 1 species
UUGCUUUGUGACUGAGUGGCGGACGGGUGAGUAACGCGUGGGUAACCUGCCUCACACUGGGGGAUAACAGUUAGAAAUAGCUGCUAAUACCGCAUAAGCGCACAGCAUCGCAUGAUGCAGUGUGAAAAACUCCGGUGGUGUGAGAUGGACCCGCGUCUGAUUAGCUAGUUGGCAGGGCAACGGCCUACCAAGGCGACGAUCAGUAGCCGACCUGAGAGGGUGACCGGCCACAUUGGGACUGAGACACGGCCCAAACUCC